UACGGAGGAUCCAAGCGUUAUCCGGAUUUAUUGGGUUUAAAGGGCGCGUAGGCGGCCUAUUAAGUCAGGGGUGAAAGACGGUAGCUUAACUAUCGCAGUGCCUUUGAUACUGAUGGGCUUGAAUGUACUUGAGGUAGGCGGAAUGUGACAAGUAGCGGUGAAAUGCAUAGAUAUGUCACAGAACACCAAUUGCGAAGGCAGCUUACUAAACUGUAACUGACGCUGAGGCACGAAAGCGCGGGGAGCAAACAGG
rnacentral:rRNA from 1 species